GAUGGAGGCUUACAGUAGAGAUCCGAUGUAGACCGCUUGUAGUAGAAAUUCAGAGUAGGUCGCUUGUAAUAGAAGCUCGAAGUAGAUUAUUUGUAGUAGGAGUUCAGAGUAGACCGUUUGUAGUAGGGGCUCGGAUGAAGUCUACCUGCAAUAGGAAUUCGGGGUAGAGGUCCGGCUCCCGUAGGAGCUCGAAUAAAAUUAGAAAGGCGGUCGACCGUCGUAGAAACAUGGGUGGAGUCGGGUUGCUGUAGAAAUCUAUCCUUAAGGAAGUUCGGCCAUGGAUGAAGUCUGAGAAAUUCGGAUUGGAAUCUAUCAUGGCUGGAAG
rnacentral:lncRNA from 1 species